UAGGGAAUCUUCGGCAAUGGGGGCGACCCUGACCGAGCAACGCCGCGUGAGUGAAGAAGGUUUUCGGAUCGUAAAGCUCUGUUGUAAGAGAAGAACGUGUGUGAGAGUGGAAAGUUCACACAGUGACGGUAACUUACCAGAAAGGGACGGCUAACUACGUACCAG
rnacentral:rRNA from 1 species